UGUGAAAACCUUGUUUGAUAUGAUAGUUAAAUAUUGGGGUAAGAAAAAUAAUUUUAAAGAAAGAUUGUUAGUAAUUUUUAGUGAAAUUUAUUUAAUGGCUAGAGAAAAAAGUACUGUGAAGGAAAGUUAUAAAAAAUUUAGUGUAGGAGAAAUAAAGUUUUGUGCCUUGUGUAUCAGGAAAAAUCUAUAUAAUUUAAUUAUGUUAAAUGUCUCGAAAUAAGAUAAAGUAAUUUUUAUAAAAUUUUCUUUUUAUAAUAAAAGAAUUCAAUGUAAAAUUGAAAGUGAAACGCUAGUUGGGUCUUAUUAUAUCUAGUUUUUUUAAAAAUAAAUUUAAUUUGGGAUUUGUAUAAAAGUAAUAAAAAAUCUUAUGGUAAGGGGGAUUAGCUUCUUAUGGAAAAUGGUUAAAAACAGUUAAGUAAAAAAGAUAAUUAUAAAUUAGGCUUAGAAGUAGCCAUGUUAGGAAAGUGUUUUAACUAAAUUAAAAUUUUUGUAAUAUUUAUGUUAGCUUUUUGUUGGUAUAAAAAAAUUGGUUAAAUUAAAGAGGAUCAAUAUAUAAUGAUUUUAUUAGUAAAAUUUGUUAAGAAAUAAGAUAUUAAAAUAUCACAAGUUGUUUAAAAAAAUAAUAUUAAUAAAAAGGAACUCGGCAAAAUUUUUCUUUGCCUGUUUAUCAAAAACAUGUCUUUUUGAAUGGUAGAAAGAGUCCAGCCUGCCCGCUGAUAAGUUUAAGGGCCGCGGUAUUUUGACCGUGCGAAGGUAGCGUAGUCAUUAGGUUUUUAAUUGGAAUCUUGUAUGAAUGGCUAGACAAGAGAAAAUCUGUCUCUUCAUUAAAUAUUGAACUUAACUUUUGGGUGAAAAGGCUUAAAUAAAUUUAAGGGACGAUAAGACCCUAUAAAGCUUAAUAUAAAGUGUUAUUUAAUUGAAUUUAAAUAUAAAAAUUUUAUAAUGCAAUUUAUUUUAUUGGGGCGAUAAAGGUAAAAUUGUUGUUAACUGCUUUUGGCUCAGACACAUUUAUAGUUGAAAUAAAUUUAUAAAAGAUCCUAAGUAAAGAUUAAAAGUUUAAGUUACUUUAGGGAUAACAGCGUUAUUUUUUUUGAGAGUACAUAUCGAAAAAAGAGUUUGCGACCUCGAUGUUG
rnacentral:rRNA from 1 species